GGGUUGUGAGGUUAAGCGACUAAGCGUACACGGUGGAUGCCCUGGCAGUCAGAGGCGAUGAAGGACGUGCUAAUCUGCGAUAAGCGUCGGUAAGGUGAUAUGAACCGUUAUAACCGGCGAUUUCCGAAUGGGGAAACCCAGUGUGUUUCGACACACUAUCAUUAACUGAAUCCAUAGGUUAAUGAGGCGAACCGGGGGAACUGAAACAUCUAAGUACCCCGAGGAAAAGAAAUCAACCGAGAUUCCCCCAGUAGCGGCGAGCGAACGGGGAGCAGCCCAGAGCCUGAAUCAGUGUGUGUGUUAGUGGAAGCGUCUGGAAAGGCGCGCGAUACAGGGUGACAGCCCCGUACACAAAAAUGCACAUGCUGUGAGCUCGAUGAGUAGGGCGGGACACGUGGUAUCCUGUCUGAAUAUGGGGGGACCAUCCUCCAAGGCUAAAUACUCCUGACUGACCGAUAGUGAACCAGUACCGUGAGGGAAAGGCGAAAAGAACCCCGGCGAGGGGAGUGAAAAAGAACCUGAAACCGUGUACGUACAAGCAGUGGGAGCCUCUUUAUGGGGUGACUGCGUACCUUUUGUAUAAUGGGUCAGCGACUUAUAUUCUGUAGCAAGGUUAACCGAAUAGGGGAGCCGAAGGGAAACCGAGUCUUAACUGGGCGUUAAGUUGCAGGGUAUAGACCCGAAACCCGGUGAUCUAGCCAUGGGCAGGUUGAAGGUUGGGUAACACUAACUGGAGGACCGAACCGACUAAUGUUGAAAAAUUAGCGGAUGACUUGUGGCUGGGGGUGAAAGGCCAAUCAAACCGGGAGAUAGCUGGUUCUCCCCGAAAGCUAUUUAGGUAGCGCCUCGUGAAUUCAUCUCCGGGGGUAGAGCACUGUUUCGGCAAGGGGGUCAUCCCGACUUACCAACCCGAUGCAAACUGCGAAUACCGGAGAAUGUUAUCACGGGAGACACACGGCGGGUGCUAACGUCCGUCGUGAAGAGGGAAACAACCCAGACCGCCAGCUAAGGUCCCAAAGUCAUGGUUAAGUGGGAAACGAUGUGGGAAGGCCCAGACAGCCAGGAUGUUGGCUUAGAAGCAGCCAUCAUUUAAAGAAAGCGUAAUAGCUCACUGGUCGAGUCGGCCUGCGCGGAAGAUGUAACGGGGCUAAACCAUGCACCGAAGCUGCGGCAGCGACGCUUAUGCGUUGUUGGGUAGGGGAGCGUUCUGUAAGCCUGUGAAGGUGUGCUGUGAGGCAUGCUGGAGGUAUCAGAAGUGCGAAUGCUGACAUAAGUAACGAUAAAGCGGGUGAAAAGCCCGCUCGCCGGAAGACCAAGGGUUCCUGUCCAACGUUAAUCGGGGCAGGGUGAGUCGACCCCUAAGGCGAGGCCGAAAGGCGUAGUCGAUGGGAAACAGGUUAAUAUUCCUGUACUUGGUGUUACUGCGAAGGGGGGACGGAGAAGGCUAUGUUGGCCGGGCGACGGUUGUCCCGGUUUAAGCGUGUAGGCUGGUUUUCCAGGCAAAUCCGGAAAAUCAAGGCUGAGGCGUGAUGACGAGGCACUACGGUGCUGAAGCAACAAAUGCCCUGCUUCCAGGAAAAGCCUCUAAGCAUCAGGUAACAUCAAAUCGUACCCCAAACCGACACAGGUGGUCAGGUAGAGAAUACCAAGGCGCUUGAGAGAACUCGGGUGAAGGAACUAGGCAAAAUGGUGCCGUAACUUCGGGAGAAGGCACGCUGAUAUGUAGGUGAAGUCCCUCGCGGAUGGAGCUGAAAUCAGUCGAAGAUACCAGCUGGCUGCAACUGUUUAUUAAAAACACAGCACUGUGCAAACACGAAAGUGGACGUAUACGGUGUGACGCCUGCCCGGUGCCGGAAGGUUAAUUGAUGGGGUUAGCCGCAAGGCGAAGCUCUUGAUCGAAGCCCCGGUAAACGGCGGCCGUAACUAUAACGGUCCUAAGGUAGCGAAAUUCCUUGUCGGGUAAGUUCCGACCUGCACGAAUGGCGUAAUGAUGGCCAGGCUGUCUCCACCCGAGACUCAGUGAAAUUGAACUCGCUGUGAAGAUGCAGUGUACCCGCGGCAAGACGGAAAGACCCCGUGAACCUUUACUAUAGCUUGACACUGAACAUUGAGCCUUGAUGUGUAGGAUAGGUGGGAGGCUUUGAAGUGUGGACGCCAGUCUGCAUGGAGCCGACCUUGAAAUACCACCCUUUAAUGUUUGAUGUUCUAACGUUGACCCGUGAUCCGGGUUGCGGACAGUGUCUGGUGGGUAGUUUGACUGGGGCGGUCUCCUCCUAAAGAGUAACGGAGGAGCACGAAGGUUGGCUAAUCCUGGUCGGACAUCAGGAGGUUAGUGCAAUGGCAUAAGCCAGCUUGACUGCGAGCGUGACGGCGCGAGCAGGUGCGAAAGCAGGUCAUAGUGAUCCGGUGGUUCUGAAUGGAAGGGCCAUCGCUCAACGGAUAAAAGGUACUCCGGGGAUAACAGGCUGAUACCGCCCAAGAGUUCAUAUCGACGGCGGUGUUUGGCACCUCGAUGUCGGCUCAUCACAUCCUGGGGCUGAAGUAGGUCCCAAGGGUAUGGCUGUUCGCCAUUUAAAGUGGUACGCGAGCUGGGUUUAGAACGUCGUGAGACAGUUCGGUCCCUAUCUGCCGUGGGCGCUGGAGAACUGAGGGGGGCUGCUCCUAGUACGAGAGGACCGGAGUGGACGCAUCACUGGUGUUCGGGUUGUCAUGCCAAUGGCACUGCCCGGUAGCUAAAUGCGGAAGAGAUAAGUGCUGAAAGCAUCUAAGCACGAAACUUGCCCCGAGAUGAGUUCUCCCUGACCCUUUAAGGGUCCUGAAGGAACGUUGAAGACGACGACGUUGAUAGGCCGGGUGUGUAAGCGCAGCGAUGCGUUGAGCUAACCGGUACUAAUGAACCGUGAGGCUUAACCUUACAACGCCGAAG
rnacentral:rRNA from 1 species